UGGGUUUAGACCGUCGUGAG
rnacentral:misc_RNA from 1 species